UCUCUUCGUCCUCUCGCCCUAUUGAUUCGCCCCCCCUCUCCCCGGUCGCCCGCCAAUCCGCCAUGUCGCUCGCCGUGGCCACUCCCGCCUCCGCCCGCCUCUCCCCGCCCACCGUCUCCUCCCCCGACCCCAGCCGCCGCCGCCUCCUGCUCUCCGCAGCCGCCCCUCUCCGGCGCACCCGUCUCCGCCGCGGCCGCCUCGCCGUCGUCGCCUCCGUCCCCGACCCCGCCGCGCGGCCGGCGGAGUACACGCCCUGGCUCAUCGCCGGCCUCGGCAACCCCGGGAACAAGUACCACGGCACGCGUCACAAUGUGGGGUUUGAGAUGGUCGAUCGCAUCGCGCGGGAGGAGGGAAUCACUAUGAACACGAUCCAGUCCAAGUCGCUGCUCGGAGUAGGUUCAAUUGGGGAGGUGCCAGUCUUAUUGGUAAAGCCACAGUCAUAUAUUAACUACAGUGGGGAAGCAAUUGCACCGCUUGCUGCCUACUACGAAGUACCAUUGCGGCACAUCCUUGUGAUUUAUGACGAGAUGAGUCUGCCCAAUGGUGUAUUGCGUCUUCAACGGAAAGGUGGUCAUGGUCGCCAUAAUGGCCUGCAGAAUGUAAUGGAGAAUUUGGAUGGUUCCCGCGAACUUCCUCGCUUAUCUAUAGGUAUUGGCAGCCCACCUGGCAAAAUGGACACACGAGCAUUUCUUCUGCAGAAGUUCAGUUCAGAGGAACGGUUGCAGAUUGACACUGCUUUGGAGCAAGGGGUGGAUGCUGUGAGGACUCUUGUGCUGAAGGGUUUUAGUGGAAGCAUCGAAAGAUUCAAUCUGGUUCAGAAGUACAAGUUCCACAGUGUUUGAGAAUCAUUAAGAUGCUUGGAGUUGGAGCUACUUGCUGAGGACACAUGAACACACAUCAAAUUACUGGAAGUGUUGGAUGUGGUACUUGGCAUAAUCCACUGGAUCAUCUGCCUGCAAAGUGUUCAUAUAGGAUGGCGAUGGAGUACAACGACAAGAAAACCCACCGCAUCAGCUGAGUUUUUAAGAGACAUAAUAUUGAUUCCAGUGAUGGGACUCAAAGGCGAUUGAUUCUUUGCUGAGGUCAUCCAUCAUCAUGAUAGGAAAGGUGGCCCACACAAGAGAACAAAAACGAGCACGUACGUACGUACGUACGUAUACAUUCCCGAUCGUACGUACUAUUUCCAUAUACAUGUAUAUUACUUUCUGCAUGGAGAAUUUUAUAUAAUGCAUAUAUAGUCCAACUCCCACACGCAUGAGCUGAGCUCUGCAACUUUAGUUUGUACUGUACACACGCAGAUCGAAUAAUUUAAUCAA